AGUACUGCCAGCUGACAACCAAGAGGACCCACAGGAGCCUCCACUGGUGACUCACCAGCCCCAGGGCCGAGGACCUAAGUAGCCAGGCAGUCUACACAUUCCUACCUGAAAUUUGCACACCCCAGGGACUGAACUGCCAGUGGGGAUUCCUGUCACUGGCCUGGCCCCAGUGUAUCUUCAAGAAUGACUCGUCUGGCACAGUGGAAGCAGGUGAUGGACAUGGGGGCCACCGUUCCUCCAGUCUGGGAUUCUUACCAGACAAAUUAACACAGUACAGUCCUUGCAGGGUCGUGGUGCAGACUGCAGCUCUGUCUCGGGCUAUGACGCUCUGGCUUACUGUCAGGACUCAAACCAAACAGGACGCCUGGGCAGGCUGCCCUCUCCUCAUCUUCC